rnacentral:misc_RNA from 1 species
UAUAUACAUAUAUAGUAUAUAUAUAUGAAAUCUCGUAUUGGUAUGUGGUGUUACUAUUUUCCCCUGACGAUGGAUUCAUUACCGUAAUGCCCCCUCGUGCAUUGACUAUGUUGAUGAACCCCUGAAAUGGCCAUAGGGACUCUUGACUUCUGGCCUGAUUCAUUCCGUAAUAAAAUUUUCUACCGAAUCUUUGCAAUUCAAUAUCCAUCUGACCAAAACCAAGAAGAAUGGUGGAAAUUAUUCAAGCCAUGUGCAUCACAACGUCUGUUUAUUCCGCAUAUCUUAGUAGACGUUGAUUCCUUACUUUACGUUGAUACAGAUGUUCUGUUCUUGAGUCCAGUCACUGCUAUAUGGGAAAUCUUCAACAAAUUUUCUGAAUCCCACACAACAGGACUAGCACCAGAGCAUGAAGAUGCUGGUACUGGGUGGUACAACAGAUUUGCUCAACAUCCAUUUUUUAAACCUUUAGGUGUCAAUUCAGGUGUUAUGUUGAUGAAUUUGACAAGAAUCAGAUGCACAAAAUGGCAAUCGUUAAUCAUAGAAUAUUACAAGACUUACAGAUAUAAAAUUGUUUAUGGAGACCAAGACCUUGUGAAUAUCUAUUUUCAUUUCAAUGCAGAUGAAUUAUAUAUAUUUGAUUGUCACUGGAAUUAUCGCCCAGACCACUGUAUGUAUAUGAGUGUAUGUAAAUCAGCAGAAAAAGAAGGAGCUGCUAUUAUACAUGGUUGUCGAAGAGUCAUGCACAAUGAUCAACAGCCAGCAUUUAGAUCAGUUUAUCGCACAUUUAAACAAUUACAACAAAAAAUAUCAGUCGGCUAGUUGCACAAGAAAUCUUGGAAAUAUAAAAGAAUGCAAAGAUCUAAAGAAAGUGCCUGCUUAAUAGCCAAUUCUUAAAUAAAACAAUUGUUUGUUGGGCUAAAGUUACAUAACAUGGUGUGAAUAACAUGCACAGAUUUGGAGCAGAUCUCCAACAUGAGUUACUGCCAAAUUUAAAAAGAGAACUCAGCACUGUCGCAUCAACAAAUUGUGGGAAAGU